AUGUUAUCCCUCGGUCCAACCCACUUUCAGCCUGGCCCAUUAGGGGGCGCUAGUAUAAAUAGUGGCCAUUUGAGUGUCUCUGCAUCGCUUGCCUGUGAUCUCCUUUUUGGUCACCUGACUUCCUCGGUGUGGUAGAGAUCGUUUGUGGGUUACUCCUCUAAAGUCUCCAUCGCGGCUGGUCGUAGCUAUAGAAGCCUCCUCUGAGCUAUUCUGCUUACAUUCUAUGACCCGGCUUACUUGGAAGAGUGGGCCUUAGUUUUGCGCCAAGCUACGUGAACUGAAGUGCUGCUGUUUUGCCUUGCUGUGCUUUUACCGUCUGUUCCCAUUGUGAGAAUUCUUCCCUGCUGCUGUCAGCUUUUACAGUGGACGUCGGCGUGGACAACGGCCAUAUGCAUGCCGGUUAUCGGAGUCAGCUGGCGUGCAUAUUGAUUGACUGUUAACUUAUCGUCGUGUGGACGGCAAGUUGGAGCAGUACGGCGAUUCCGUUUGCUCCAGAUUUUAGAGUUUUAUUCAGAUUGUAUGUUGUUUUAUUGCUUUUUGAUUUGUAGUUUGGAUUUUCUGUUACACCACUGGUGGGAGGCCCUUUUUCUAGCUGUGGAUCACCAGUGUGGUCUUGCAGUUGGGUUAUCCCCCGGUGCUACACAUUAGUUUGUUGUAAUAUAUUAAAAUUUUCUUUGUUUCUUUUAUUCAGAUGCGGAGUGCCGACGUGGAGGAGACUAGGGUGCCUUGGUGGUGGGAUCCCUUGAGUGUACACACCUGCCUUGUUUAGUUUAUUAGUACGCCAAGCCUGACCAAAAGCACAUCGUGGAUAAAACACAACACCAAUAUGAAGAUUUUUCUUGCUACAAACUCUAGAUAAUCUCUCACAUGAAUUUUCUACAGUGAUGUAUUCUCAAGUCUCAAGCGAGUAAGCUGAAUCUGAACCCUGUCUCCUCUCGUUACACUGAGUGACUCAGAAACCUGCUUCCCCGGCCUGACUCCCCUUUUCCCCCACACCACAUCUGUAUAUAGUUUUUUAUAGUUGUGUAUAUAGUUUUUUAGUUGGCGGUGGACCGGCGCCCAUUGCGGUGGAAGAUCUGGAUAUGUGUGGGAUGAGGAGCAGCUGACGCAGGGCAUUGUGCCUGUAAGCAAUCCCCCCCUCCUCAGGGGGCAACACAACAAAGUAAACCCCAUCCCUCACCCCCGCCCAGCCCCAACCCACAGCACAACUGAUCAGGUAAACUGACUUCUCAACUGAUCAGUUGUACUGUCUCUUGUCCCCCGGGGGGCAAGCACAGAGCUAGCCCCAUCCCUCACCCCACCCCAGUCCAAACAAACUUUAGAUAAUCUCUCACAUGGAUUUUCAUUUCUGCCCCCAACCACCCCCACUAUCCCACCUGGGGGGGGGGGAUCCCUCGCACCGGCCCAGCCCAACCCCACAUCGACGGCCCAGAAGGACGAAGGAAAAGAAGGCAGCAGGUCCAGAGAGAAUCUGCUGCAGGACUGUGCAGAACAGCUUUGUCAGGUGAGAAGCCCAGAACUAAGGCUGCCAACAUCCAAAGACUGGUGACUCCUCAUGCGCUGCAGCGCAAGCGCCGCCGCAUGGCUCUCAAGAGACAGUGCACCCAGAAGAUCAAGGAGGAGGCCUCGGAGUACAAGCUGCUGGCCAAGAGGAUGAAGACAGGAGGCCAAGGAGAAGCGCCAGGAACAGAUCACCAUGAGGCGCCGCCUUCAUUCUCUGAGGGCGUCCACAUCCAAGUCAGAGUCAGAAGUGAAACGGAAUCAAAUAAAGUCAUGUUUUGCUGAAA